CCUACGGGUGGCAGCAGUGAGGAAUAUUGGUCAAUGGGCGCUAGCCUGAACCAGCCAAGUAGCGUGAAGGAUGACUGCCCUAUGGGUUGUAAACUUCUUUUAUAUGGGAAUAAAAUGCACUACGUAUAGUGCUUUGCAUGUACCUUAUGAAUAAGGAUCGGCUAACUCCGUGCCAGCAGCCGCGGUAAUACGGAGGAUCCGAGCGUUAUCCGGAUUUAUUGGGGUUAAAGGGAGCGUAGGCGGGUUGUUAAGUCAGCUGUGAAAGUUGGCGGCUCAACCGUAACCAUGCCGUUGAAACUGGCAUCCUUGAGUACAGUAGAGGUAGGCGGAAUUCGUGGUGUAGCGGUGAAAUGCAUAGAUAUCACGAAGAACUCCGAUUGCGAAGGCAGCCUGCUGGACUGUAACUGACGCUGAUGCUCGAAAGUGUGGGUAUCAAACAGGAUUAGAUACCCCAGUAGUC
rnacentral:rRNA from 1 species